UUUUGGCGCGCGUGCACACACACACACACACACACACACACGCAGAAAAGAAAAGAAAUCUGGAUGUGGAUUUAACAUUUUAACAACACAAAAAAUUUAAAACUCUCUGUAGAUCAAGCUGUCUAUAGGCAAGUCGGUUUAGCAGACAGGGCUUGUCUUUUUGGCACUAGUAGGAAUGUGGCACAGAAAAAAAUGAUUUCUCACUUUCAAUUUUUUUUAGAAUUUUUUUUGAGGAUUGAUAUUUUCUGACAACUUUCAGCCUUUUCAGAAGUCAAGGGAGUCUACAGAGUUCCUUGGUCAUCCAGUGGUUAAGACUCACUGCUGUGGGCCCAGGGUUCGAUACCUGGUGGGGGAACUAAAACCUGCCAGCUGCUGGGAUGCAUUGUACAACAUUGGGAAUAUAGCAAAUAUCGUAUAGUAACUUUAAAUGGAGUAUGACCUAUAAAAAUUGUGAAUCACUAUGUUGUGUACCUGUAAUAUAUAAUAAUAUGUAAUAUGCAUCAUCUAUAUUUUAAUUAAAAAGAAGCAACCUUAGACAAAAAGACCUUAUAGCAAUUAGAUCAAUGGGAAAAAUGAGAAAUGAGCAAACAAAAAUGCUACCAAUUAUAGUCUUACAGACAUUGUGAAUUAUAAAUUUCAUUCCAAUGUCAGAGACUUUAAAAUGUCAGAAAAUGAAGGUAUUAUAAUCAUUGAAGCACAGUGUUGUCUCUAAUCCUCAAAAUGUAACUGCAAAGGAGGUAUGGUAUCCUUUGACUUUAUUGAGAUGUUGUCCUUGUAAAAUCGGAGAAGGCAAUGGCACCCCACUCCAGUACUCUUACCUGGAGAAUCCCAGGGAUGGGGGAGCCUGGUGGGCUGCCGUCUAUGGGGUCGCACAGAGUCGGACACGACUGAUGUGACUUAGCAGCAGCAAUAAUAUGUAUGAUUAUAUACCUAACAGUUACUCAGCUGUUACCUGUGCCAGGAACAGUUCUAAACUCUUUGCAUGGAUCUCAUUUAAGCAUUGCAGUGCUGUCCUGUGAGAGAACUACUUCUCUCUCUCCAUUUUGUUGAUGAGGAAAUUGAGGCUCAGAGAGGCUGAGCGACAGCUAAGUGACUGAGUGAAAGUCAAAUUCAAACCCAGGUUGAGCUGAAUCUCAAGGUCAUGGUCACUCUAUUCAAGUAAAUUGUUCUUUCAUUACUGUGUUAAGAAGAGCUAAUGCUAAUAUAUUAUCAGAAGGAAAUGAAAUAUUUGUUUUAGAGAGAUAGGAAUAGCCUGCUAUUGAAUGUUUUCAAUCACAGGAACAAUUAUUUGUUUUUAAACAGUAACACCACAGUUUCCUGAAAACUCUUGCUUUCAUAGGACUGCCCUCCAUUGGCCUGUGCCAAUGGCCAUUCAGUGGUGGUCACUCUGCUCCUGGAGAGAAAAUGCCUGCUUAACCUCUGUGACAAUGAAAACAGGACAGCACUGAUGAAGGCCAUAGAAUGCCAAGAAGAGGAGCGUGUGACUCUUCUGCUGGAGCAUGGUGCCAAACCAAAUGUUAUGGACAUCUGUGGGAACACCGCUGUCCAUUACGCUGUCUUUUGCCAGAAUAUAUCACUCGCAGCAAAGCUGCUUUCCUGUGACGCCAAUAUAGAAGCCAGGAACAAGGACACACGUGAUGUCUUGUAGCUGCAGCCCCACCAGGAACUCCCUCCACUCUCACAGGUGGGCUCAGUUUUCCUUCUUUGGAAGCUCUAGCCUUCCCUGAGUGAAAGUAUUUUGAAGGAACCAAAUUGUCUAAGAUUUCGCUUUAAAUCAUGAUAUUUCUCAAGCAUUAGAGAGUAAAGCAUUCCUUUAUGCUUUUAUGGCUGGUAUUCGUGAUAACACUGCACUUGUUAAAGGUAAAGCAUUUUCCAAAUAUUUUCCCCCACUUAAGCUUUUUUUUUUUUUUAAUCUUUCUAAAAUAACACAGUAAAGCAAAAUUUGCCUCAGUAGACUUUGUCUUAAAAUUCAAACAUAAUGAAAGCAUUUUACAACAUAUUAGAAAUCUUGCUGCUAUUCACAAAUUCCCAUUUUAUGAAAAAUGGUUUAUAUAAACACAGUUACUCUCUCAUUGCCCAAGUCUUAAGAGGGUAAAAGGAAAAGGAGCAAGCAAGUGAAAAGUGCAAGUCAAGCUGGAAUUUUGGCAGUUGGGAAAUGCCAAGAAGAGCAUUUAUUUAUUUUAAUAUUUAUUUAUUUGGCUGAGCUGGGCUUUGUUUCAGCAUGUAGGAUCUAGUUUCCUGACCAGGGGUCAAACCCAGGCCCUCUUUUCUGGGAGCACUGAGACCCAGCCACGGGACCACCACAGAAGUCCCGAGAUUUUGGUUUGUGCUUUUUAUUCCCUUCAGUUUAUAUAUUUCUUAUAUGCUUUUCAGUUUUCAGGGAUAAUAGUUGUAAUUUUGAAAAAGAGUGUGAGUUAAUUGUAAACUUGCCUAGGUGUCAGUUUUAAGAAGACUGAUCAAAACAGACUUACAGUGGUGAUUAAGUGGGAAUUAAGAGAGAAGAACAAAUAACUACCUGAUAUUAUCCUAUUCUGGCAGAUCCAUCCACUUAGAUAAGAGUCUAGACUCUGCUCUCCCAUCUAGAAUGUCUUGAUGGGAAGGAAGGGGUUUAUAAAUAAUGAGAUCAGGUUGCCUUUUGGGUUUACUAGUCCCUGUUCUACCACUGUUUACCCAGGAAAAUUAAAAAAAUUGCAGUUUUGAUGACUCUUGCCUCUUACAAUUUUCUUUUUUAUUCAAACCUUCAUGUAAGAGAAGAAAUUGGCUGUGUGAGUAAGAGAUGAGACUGGAGUGGUUGCUGCACUAAUUCUCAACUAUAUUCUGCUGGAUGACCUGACACCACUGUUACUUGUGAUAUGUGAAAGGAGAGGGCAAAUGGUGGAGUUUUUAGUAAAGAAAGAAGCAAAUAUACAUGCGGUUGAUAAGAUGAAAAGAACAGCCCUCAUGCUUGCUGUCAAGUAUGAAUCAACAAAUGUCGUCAGACUUCUUCUUCAGCAAGGUGCUAACAUCUUUUCUCAAGAUGUUUUUGGAUGGACUGCAGAAGAAUAUGCUGUUAUUAGUGGUUUUAAUAUUGGAUGAGAGCUCUGAAGAGGACUCUUCAAGGAGGUAGGUUUUUAUGGAUGUUUUAAAUUAUAUGUUUAACUAAGGGAACAUGGAGAAGAGAAACUAAUGGUUGUUGAGUGUUCUACUCUGGGUUAGACACUACAUUACGUGCUUAACAUAUGCGACCUCAUAGAGUCAUCACAGCAGCUUUGUAAAGUAGCUGUGUCCUACUUUUACUUAAUUAGACAACUGUGGUUUCAGGAGGUUAAUGAAUUGACCCUGGUUAAAAUGAGCUGACCUGUGAUUUGACAAUUGGCCUUCCUGGCUCCCAUGUCCACGCCCAUGGCCCUCAGCAGAGACUGAGAAGUACCCAUGUAGCAUAUAAGUUAAAGAUAUAAAUUAGUUCUUUGAAGUGUACAUUUUAAGUUUCGACAUUGUGGGGAAACUCCCUGUACUCCCUUAGAGUAAAGGAGAGAAGUGGUGCCAUCUCAGUAAGUGGUAUCCCUGCUGAUCUACCAAGACUCUCAUUUUGGAUGGACUCAGAUUCGUCUCCAAACCUUGAACAGACAAUGGAGAAGGAAAAGCCUAUUCUUCCACUCUAAGUCAUCAGGUUUAUUCCAGUGUGGGCAAACAAGAAUUAUUUCAAUCCAUGAAUUGGAUUUUCAGUUUAGCAAUUAGAACUUUUAGUGAAAAAUUAUUUUUAGGCUCUGCCGAUACAUUGGCUGUCACUCUGUUAUGGAAACUAAGAAUGAGUGUUAACUAGAUAUUUCAUAGAUUGGGAGAGAUGGAUGCAGAAAUAGGUAACAAAAAACUUUUUUGGAGACUUCCCUGGGGAUGCAGUGGUUAAGAUGGUUAGUAAGACAUCUUCCAAUGUAGGCAGUGUGGGUUCAAUACUGGUUCAGAGAAGCUAAGAUCUCACAUGACCCAGGGUCAGACAGCCAAAACAUAAAAUAGAAGCACCAUUGGAACUAAUUCAGUAAAGACUUUAAAAGUGGUGCACAUCAAGAAAUCUUUAAAAAAUAAAAAAAAAAGCUGUUUUAAAACAGGCCAAAUUUUAUUCAUGUCAAGAAAGUUCAUUUAAUAUAGAGACAAACUGUCACUUUUUUUUUCUUUUGUUCAAGGACAUGAGCUCACUCAUUUUUUUAAUUUUAUUUUUUAACUUUAUAAUAUUGUAUUGGUUUUUGCCAUAUAUCAACAU